rnacentral:rRNA from 1 species
UACGAAGGGGGCUAGCGUUGCUCGGAAUUACUGGGCGUAAAGCGUGCGCAGGCGGUUUUGUAAGCCAGGUGUGAAAUCCCCGGGCUCAACCUGGGAAUGGCAUUUGGGACUGCAAGGCUGGAGUGCGGCAGAGGAGACUGGAAUUCCUGGUGUAGCAGUGAAAUGCGUAGAGAUCGGGAGGAACACCUGUGGCGAAGGCGGCCGGCUGGGGGUGCCCUGACGCUGAUGCGCGAAAGCUAGGGGAGCGAACUGG